GCAUUGGUAGUUCAGUGGUAGAAUUCAUGCCUUCCAUGCAGGAGACCUGGGUUCGAUUCCUGGCUAAUGCA